rnacentral:lncRNA from 1 species
GAAGGCGGUGAGGCUAAGUUUUUGCUUUAUAGGAGAAAUGCUAGCACAAAUAAGCUAAAAGUCGUCUAUUUGAAGGGUUACGGCAAUAGACAUGAUUUUGUGAGCUGAAGNNUGGAUUGNUAAGGCGUUUAGUCACUGAAGCUCCUGACUACCCCUGAAGCAUGCAGGACGUAUUUGCAUUGUAAUUAAUUCAAUUUUGCUUUGAUUUAGAUCAUUCCACUUUUUUGUUGGAUUUAUUUGUAAUAAAAUGAUGUUUUAUUAAUUUUU